rnacentral:tRNA from 2 species
UAGGAGAGUUCCUUUAUUGGUAAGAAGGGUUGAGCUGUAAACUCAAUAGUAUUAUGCUUUUAAGAGUUCGAAUCUCUUCUCUCCUAU